rnacentral:tRNA from 1 species
GCGCCCGUAGCUCAACUGGAUAGAGCACCGGCCUUCUAAGCCGGCGGUUGCAGGUUCGAUUCCUGCCGGGCGCG